UACGUAUGGUGCAAGCGUUAUCCGGAUUCACUGGGCGUAAAGGGAGCGCAGGCGGCGCGCCAAGUCUGAUGUGAAACCCCGGGGCUCAACCCCGGGCAUGCAUUGGAAACUGGCGGGCUGGAGUGCCGGAGAGGUAAGCGGAAUUCCUAGUGUAGCGGUGAAAUGCGUAGAUAUUAGGAGGAACACCAGUGGCGAAGGCGGCUUACUGGACGGCAACUGACGCUGAGGCUCGAAAGCGUGGGGAGCAAACAGG
rnacentral:rRNA from 1 species